ACAAAUAUUUAAGUUAAAUACAUUAUUUACUCAAGCAGGCGUGGGCGGCUGUUGUUAUCAAAUUUAUAAUCAUGGUGUCAAGCUAGCUCUAGCCACUUUCACUUUCACUGCAGCGAAUGUGAAAACAGAAGAGAGAGAGAGUUAUCAAAAACAGAUGCUUUCUCAAUAAUAGUAGUAUACAAAAACCACCAAAAAAAAAAAAGAAGAGCCAGAAACCCAAUGAGUGUUUGUGUUUUCUUACUGGCAAUUAGGUAGCUGUGAUUCAUCAAAAACUAGACCUGCCGAUAAAUAAACCCAUCACGCUUUCAACCACAGGAAGCAAAAUUAUAACAACAGCAACAACAAGAGAAGAAGGGCGGCGACCAUUGGAGCGUAGCUCAGUGGAACAGAGCACUAGAUAUAGUUGGAGUAGCACAAAAUAACAGAAACGCCGUACUCAAUUUAGCCGCAGCCACAGCAAGAGGGCUGCAUCAAUAGUCAUAGCAUGGGCAACGACGAUUAUAGGCGACAUAGGAAGACACCUUGCGGCUGUUGCAUGUCUGUGUUCAAGUUCAUACCCGUGCUCUUUAUAUUCGCUGUCAUCGGCUGGUCCUAUUAUGCCUACGUGGUGGAGCUAUGUGUUCUAAAUACGGAAAACCGCAUAGCUAUGAUAUUCAUGCUACUGUUUUAUCAUAUAACACUGGUGCUAUUCCUAUGGUCAUAUUGGAAAACGAUUUUAACUUCGGUGGGCCGCGUGCCAGAUCAAUGGCGCAUACCGGACGAGGAAGUAAAUCGUCUAUUCCAUGCGGACAAUCCAGAGGCACAAAAACGCAUUUUAAAUAAUUUUGCGCGCAAUUUGCCAGUGACAAAUCGCACAAUGAACGGCUCUGUGCGCUUUUGUGAGAAAUGCAAGAUUAUUAAGCCGGAUCGUGCGCAUCAUUGUAGCGUCUGUAGUUGUUGUGUGCUUAAAAUGGAUCAUCAUUGCCCUUGGGUUAACAAUUGUGUUAAUUUUUAUAACUACAAAUUCUUUGUGUUGUUUUUGGGCUACGCAUUGAUAUACUGUCUCUACGUUGCCUUCACCUCAUUGCAUGACUUUAUACAGUUCUGGAAGAAUGACAAUGACUACUUGGAACAGGGGCAACUCAAUGGCACCGGAAUGGGUCGCUUUCACAUACUAUUCCUGUUCUUUAUAUCCAUCAUGUUUGCCAUCAGUUUGGUGAGUCUAUUUGGUUAUCACAUCUAUCUGGUGCUCGUCAAUCGUACCACACUGGAGGCCUUUCGAGCGCCCAUCUUUCGAGUUGGCGGUCCAGAUAAAAAUGGAUACAAUCUCGGACGUUAUGCUAAUUUCUGUGAGGUCUUUGGCGAUGAUUGGAAACUCUGGUUUUUGCCUAUAUUUACCAGUCGCGGUGACGGAAUGAGCUACCCAACGAGCACGGACCAGUCUGGCGGAGGACGUUACAAUGCCAUGGGUGACACCAACACCAACAGCAUAACGAACAGGUUAGAUGUUCAGCCUACAGAUAAAUUGAUUGAUGCAAUCGCACUCAAUAAUCAUCAACCUCAUUUGGAGCUAGCCGACGGACAAAUGCCUAGUAAUAAUCAUGCUGCAUUACCACCUAGUCAAGUCAUUGUUAAUAUUGAAAAUCAACUGGGCGCAAUAACGGUAUCGAAUGCCAAUAAUACCCACAAUGCUGAAGUAGCUAACGAUCAGAUUGGUGAUCAGACGCAGUCUGCUGGCAAGCAAAUUAAUGGCGGGCCAGCCAUUCUUACGCUAGAAAAGAUUGUCUAAACUGCAACAAGUUGUUCUAUCUAUAAGGUAUAUGUAUGUGCUAAAAUUCGCCAGAGCUAGCGCCAGUCGCAACAGUUUUUUGUAAAUCUGUAUGUAAUAUUUAUAAACCUGCUUGCCCCAGUUGGUCUGUAAGAAAGCAAUUGACAUACGUACAUGUGUUUUAAACGAGAGAGACUAUACAAUAUAUAUAUUAUAUAUCAUUAAAUAAAGCUUUAGUGUUAGUUAGUUAAGUAAAGUAAGCUAAGAACUUGUUUGUUGGUCAGGCUUAGAAUAUAACUAAAAGCACAUUUUGUAAGCAAUCUAAAGAAAUUAUUAAACUGAUUAAAACUCUGGGAGCGAAUUACUCAUUUGCAGUUUAUUGCAAUGCCAAUGAGAAUAAUUCAAUUACAGUUCAAUAUAUUUUUAACUUAGCUAUAAAUCAUUUUUUGAGCAU